AGCAGCCGCGGUAAUUCCAGCUCCAAUGAGCGUAUAUUAAAGCUUGUUGCAGUUAAAAAGCUCGUAGUUGAAUUUCGGGGUUAGUAGGUUGGUCAUGCCUCUGGUAUGUACUGGUCUCACUGAUUCCUCCUUCCUGAUGAGCCGUAAUGCCAUUAAUUUGGUGUUGCGGGGAAUUUGGACUGUUACUUUGAAAAAAUUAGAGUGUUUAAAGCAAGCUAACGCUUGAAUACAUUAGCAUGGAAUAAUGAAAUAGGACGUUCGAUCCUAUUUUGUUGGUUUCUAGGAUUGACGUAAUGAUUAAUAGGGAUAGUUGGGGGCAUUAGUAUUCAAUUGUCAGAGGUGAAAUUCUUGGAUUUAUUGAAGACUAACUACUGCGAAAGCAUUUGCCAAGGAUGUUUUCAUUAAUCAAGAACGAAAGUUAGGGGAUCGAAGACGAUCAGAUACCGUCGUAGUCUUAACCAUAAACUAUGCCGACUAGGGAUCGGAUGAUGUUAAUUUUUUAAUGACUCA
rnacentral:rRNA from 1 species